rnacentral:misc_RNA from 1 species
AACGCACGAGACCUGCGGACCUGCGGAAGGAUCAUUAACAAAUCUUCAAGUCGGCCCUUCCAGUGCUGGUGGUGACACAUGUGCACGUUUGGGUCGCAAAUCCUCACACCUGUGCAUAUAUGACUCUGAGUGUCUUGCCCUCAUUUCGAGGGAGUUUGUCAGUCAAACUGGCACUCGAGUAAUUUUUACACUCUGAAUGGAAAGGAAUGUAUGUCUGCAUAAUAUGCAAAUGAAACAACU